rnacentral:rRNA from 1 species
GACGAACGUUGGCGGCGUGCUUAAUACAUGCAAGUCAACUGAAGCAGAGGUAGCAAUAUCUCUGCAGAGGUGGCGCACGGGUGAGUAACACGUAGGUAAUCUGCCUUCAGGUCUGACAUAACUCCGGGAAACCGGAGCUAAUAGCAGAUGAUGCAGCGGCUUGACAUCAAGACAGUUGUUAAAGCUUCGGCGCCUGAAGAUGAGCCUGCGUCUGAUUAGCUAGUUGGCGGGGUAACGGCCCACCAAGGCAACGAUCAGUAGCUGGUCUGAGAGGAUGAUCAGCCACACUGGAACUGAGACACGGUCCAGACUCCUACGGGAGGCAG